rnacentral:rRNA from 1 species
GACGAACGCUGGCGGCGUGCUUAACACAUGCAAGUCGAACGGAAAGGCCCUGCUUUUGUGGGGUGCUCGAGUGGCGAACGGGUGGGUAACACGUGAGUAACCUGCCCUUGACUUUGGGAUAACUUCAGGAAACUGGGGCUAAUACCGGAUAGGAGCUCCUGCUGCAUGGUGGGGGUUGGAAAGUUUCGGCGGUUGGGGAUGGACUCGCGGCUUAUCAGCUUGUUGGUGGGGUAGUGGCUUACCAAGGCUUUGACGGGUAGCCGGCCUGAGAGGGUGACCGGCCACAUUGGGACUGAGGUACGGCCCAGAAUCCUACGGGAGGCAGCAGUGGGGAAUAUUGCACCAUGGGCGGAAGCCUGAUGCAGCAACGCCGCGUGCGGGAUGACGGCCUUUGGGUUGUAAACCGCUUCCGCCUGUGACGAAGCGUGAGUGACGGUAAUGGGUAAAGAAGCACCGGCUAACUACGUG